rnacentral:rRNA from 1 species
AGACGUUUGAUCCGGCGUCAGGAUGAACGCGUGCGGCGUGCCUAACACAUGCAAGUCGAACGGGGACGAGACGGAAACCGUACGUGAAGUCUGUCCGAGUGGCGGACGGGUGGAGUAACGCGUGGAUAACCUGCCGCAUGCAGGGGGAUACCGGCUGGAAACAGCCGCUAAUACCGCAUAAGCGCACGGUGCCGCAUGGCAGAGUGCGAAAAGGAGAAAUCCGGCAAGCGAUGGAUCCGCGUCCGAUUAGCCAGUUGGCGGGGUAAGGGCCCGACCAAAGCGACGAUCGGUAGCCGGCCUGAGAGGGCGGACGGCCACAUUGGGACUGAGACACGGCCCAGACUCCUACGGGAGGCAGCAGUGGGGGAUAUUGCACAAUGGGGGAAACCCUGAUGCAGCGACGCCGCGUGGGUGAAGAAGUAUUUCGGCAUGUAAAGCCCUAUCAGCAGGGAAGAAAGAAGACGGUACCUGACUAAGAAGCCCCGGCUAACUACGUG